rnacentral:rRNA from 1 species
AUUGAACGCUGGCGGCAUGCCUUACACAUGCAAGUCGAACGGUAACAGGUCUUCGGAUGCUGACGAGUGGCGAACGGGUGAGUAAUACAUCGGAACGUGCCCAAUCGUGGGGGAUAGCUCGGCGAAAGCCGAAUUAAUACCGCAUACGAUCUACGGAUGAAAGCAGGGGACCGCAAGGCCUUGCGCGAAUGGAGCGGCCGAUGGCAGAUUAGGUAGUUGGUGGGGUAAAGGCUCACCAAGCCGACGAUCUGUAGCUGGUCUGAGAGGACGACCAGCCACACUGGGACUGAGACACGGCCCAGACUCCUACGGGAGGCAGCAGUGGGGAAUUUUGGACAAUGGGCGCAAGCCUGAUCCAGCCAUGCCGCGUGCAGGAUGAAGGCCUUCGGGUUGUAAACUGCUUUUGUACGGAACGAAAAGGUUCUCUCUAAUAAAGAGGGCUCAUGACGGUACCGUAAGAAUAAGCACCGGCUAACUACGUGCCAGCAGCCGCGGUAAUACGU